CACUGAUUUGCUGUGCUCCAGAAGCGAUUGGCACAGCCACGCAGAGACCUGACAGCAUCGCUCACACCCCCGCUUUUGGAAGCCGUGCUUUGGACCCAGGGCUGGGAGAGCUGCAGGGACAGGAGCUCACGAGCUGGGAGACAGCAUGGAGGAAGCUGUUUGCAUGGCAGCAGCCAGGGCUGUGGCUGCAGGGAUGCCUUCCAGGGCCAGCGCAGACAGCUGGGAACUCAGCCAGCGCUGAAUUCAAGCCAUUCUUUUAUAAAUCAGGGAGGACUGAACCUGUGGAUCCGCUCUGAUUUUCUUCACAGACGAGAGAAGAGCAUGUGGGCUUAAUAAAUUCAGGCCUCCCCAACAACGAACACCCGAGCCCUAAGGAGGCCGAGGCACAGCUCACGCAGCCCACACUGCUUCCUACA
ensembl:lncRNA